rnacentral:lncRNA from 1 species
CUCCAGGACAGCCAAGGCUGUACAGAGAAACCCUGUCUCGAAAAACCAAAAAAAAAAAAUAAAAAAAAAAAAAUAAAAAAAUAAAAAAAGAUGUAUUUAUUAUAUGUACGUACACUGUAUCUGUCUUCAGACACCCCAGAAGACAGCAUCAGACCUCCUUACUGGUAGUUGUGAGGCACUAUAUGGUUGCUGGGAUUUGAACUCAGGACCUUCAGAAGAGCAGUCAGUGCUCUUAACUGCUGAGCCAUCUCUCCAGCCCAUAAAUUUAUCAUUUCGAAUAGAAAGAUAAUGCUUUUCUGUUGCUAGAAAGCAUUUUGCCCUGGGAAAGGCAUAUUUCUGUGGGCCAGUGUGAGGACCAGGGUUGGGGUCAGGGCAGAAUUGUUUUGCUUCUAUCUGAUCAGGAGAAGAAAAGCUGUGCUCCUGAGAGCUAACGUGGGGAAGAGUUUCAAGCUACUCUGAGCAGCCAGCCUGUCUCCUUGGAAUGUGGGGCUCCCCUGGAGAAGUAAUGGUGGCCCUGUAGGAGCUAACUGGAAACGGUGUCAUGCCAUUCUGAGCAACCACUCUCCUUAGCCGUGGGCUGCCACUGGAGAACUGAUUACGGCUCACCCUAGUGCAUGACGCAUACCCAGGGCAAAACCUCUGAGCAGACGCAGUGUUACUUAGGAACAGGCUCAUACACUGAGCGGAAGGGAAUAUGAAUGAAGUGGAGAUACAGAGAAGGCUAUUAAAUUAAGGAAGAAAAGGUACAUAUAUAUGAAAUAAAUUCAGACCUCUGAUCUCAGCACUUGGGAGACAAACACAGGAACAGGUAGGUUCCUUGUGAGUUCGAGGCCAGCCUAAACUACAGAGGAAAUCCAGGUCAGGCAAGGAUACACAGAGAAACCCUGUCUCAUUAAAGAGUAACAAUAAUAAUUGUAUUAAGUUGUUUUAAUUGUUUUAAGUUAUCAAAAUGAAGGUGGCUACAAGUUCCAUGGUUAUGAUGAUAGUGUACGUCUCUCUUUGAGAGAGAUCAAAACAGAGCAGUCCUAAAUGGAAAAGGGGCUGCUGGAUUGAAGCAGUCCAUAUCAAACUCCUGGACCAAAGGACGUACUAUGUUGGGAGAGAGGCUCUGUACUUGUGUUAACAGGAAAGAAGGCUUUGGGCUCCUUCCAAAGUAAUAAAGGUCAGAUUUGGUAGAUGGAGACACACACACACACACACACACACACACACACACACACUGAAGAUCUCAGCUUCAGAUGGGAGACAUGCUAGG